UACGUAGGGUGCGAGCGUUAAUCGGAAUUACUGGGCGUAAAGCGUGCGCAGGCGGUCUUGCAAGACAGAUGUGAAAUCCCCGGGCUCAACCUGGGAACUGCAUUUGUGACUGCAAGGCUAGAGUACGGUAGAGGGGGAUGGAAUUCCGCGUGUAGCAGUGAAAUGCGUAGAUAUGCGGAGGAACACCGAUGGCAAAGGCAAUCCCCUGGACCUGUACUGACGCUCAUGCACGAAAGCGUGGGGAGCAAACAGG
rnacentral:rRNA from 1 species